rnacentral:rRNA from 1 species
GAUGAACGCUGGCGGCGUGCCUAAUACAUGCAAGUCGAGCGAACGGACGAGAAGCUUGCUUCUCUGAUGUUAGCGGCGGACGGGUGAGUAACACGUGGAUAACCUACCUAUAAGACUGGGAUAACUUCGGGAAACCGGAGCUAAUACCGGAUAAUAUUUUGAACCGCAUGGUUCAAAAGUGAAAGACGGUCUUGCUGUCACUUAUAGAUGGAUCCGCGCUGCAUUAGCUAGUUGGUAAGGUAACGGCUUACCAAGGCAACGAUGCAUAGCCGACCUGAGAGGGUGAUCGGCCACACUGAAACUGAGACACGGUCCAGACUCCUACGGGAGGCAGCAGUAGGGAAUCUUCCGCAAUGGGCGAAAGCCUGACGGAGCAACGCCGAGUGAGUGAUGAAGGUCUUCGGAUCGUAAAACUCUGUUAUUAGGGAAGAACAUAUGUGUAAGUAACUGUGCACAUCUUGACGGUACCUAAUCAGAAAGCCACGGCUAACUACGUG